rnacentral:rRNA from 1 species
CAGCCCGGUAAUUCCAGCUCCAAUAGCGUAUAUUAAAGUUGUUGCAGUUAAAAAGCUCGUAGUUGAAUUUCGGGGUUAGUAGGUUGGUCAUGCCUCUGGUAUGUACUGGUCUCACUGAUUCCUCCUUCCUGAUGAACCUUAAUGCCAUUAAUUUGGUGUUUUGGGGAAUUUGGACUGUUACUUUGAAAAAAUUAGAGUGUUUAAAGCAAGCUAACGCUUGAAUACAUUAGCAUGGAAUAAUGAAAUAGGACGUUCGAUCCUAUUUUGUUGGUUUCUAGGAUUGACGUAAUGAUUAAUAGGGAUAGUUGGGGGCAUUAGUAUUCAAUUGUCAGAGGUGAAAUUCUUGGAUUUAUUGAAGACUAACUACUGCGAAAGCAUUUGCCAAGGAUGUUUUCAUUAAUCAAGAACGAAAGUUAGGGGAUCGAAGACGAUCAGAUACCGUCGUAGUCUUAACCAUAAACUAUGCCGACUAGGGAUCGGAUGAUGUUAAUUUUUUAAUGACUCAUUCGGCGCCUUACG